GUACGGGGGGGGCAAGCGUUGUUCGGAAUUACUGGGCGUAAAGGGCUCGUAGGUGGCCAACUAAGUCAGACGUGAAAUCCCUCGGCUUAACCGGGGAACUGCGUCUGAUACUGGAUGGCUUGAGUUCGGGAGAGGGAUGCGGAAUUCCAGGUGUAGCGGUGAAAUGCGUAGAUAUCUGGAGGAACACCGGUGGCGAAGGCGGCAUCCUGGACCGGUACUGACGCUGAUGCGCGAAAAGCGGUGGGGAGCAAACGGGG
rnacentral:rRNA from 1 species